rnacentral:lncRNA from 1 species
CAGGACUCGAAUUAAGAGAGAUACACAGUUUCUCUGAAUAUCAUCACCCUAAUAGCACAGUUGAUAGAAGUCUGGAAAUAUUGAGAAUUACUUUUUUUUCCCAUAAUUAACAUGAGCAGGAGCUGUAUGGCCCAAGUGCAAGACCAGCGGGGCUGCUUGCUCUGCAAAGGGGACAUCUCACGAUCUGGGACCAUUGGGAGGCUGGGGUUUCUCCCAUGUCUCUGUGCCUCAGCCAACAAGCCUACGAAGGGAUAAGGAGGACACAGCCCCUUCUCCAGCCCUGAUCUAUGGUGUUGUUAUUAUGUCUGUGAACUUGGGGAAGUGGAUCUGAACGUAAUGGAUAGAGUGCAGGCCGUGGGUUCAAAUCUCAGCUCUGCCACUUAAUACCUCUGUGACCCUGGUAAGUAAUUCCCCCUCUUUGAAUCUCUAUAAAAAA